AGGACUGACAAGUGCCAGUUCCUUCCCCAGGAUAGGACUGUGGCCCCAGAACCAUGGACCGGUUACCAUGCACCAACAGCAAAGCUGGACUCCGUGGAUUGUAGGACGGACAGGGCAACCUCAAGUGACCCCUUGGCUAAUGGCUGAGGCCAUCUGGGGAUGAAAGCCAGGGCCUCAGGAGGGCGGAAACCAUUCUACCAUUGAACGGCAGCCAUAGUCUUGAUCCACUACUGCACUAUGGCUGCACCCAGUGGCAAAACCCUCAACUCUCCUGGCUCAAAACAAGGAAAGACCUUGGACAGCCCUAACAUCCGGGAAAACGGCAGGGAAGUGACGUCCGCCAGGGGGCGCCCUUGUUCUCACCUGGACUCUGCAGACCUGGAGUGCAGCAGGACAGCAGGUGACCAUGGCUCAGGAGGGCCUUGAUGGGCAGGCGGCGAGUGGGUCACAGAGUCACUAAUGGCCCCGCCGUCCGCCACCUGCCGCCAGCCGCCUGCCGCCGGAUGAGGAAAUGGCCCUGCCCAGGCAUCGAUCUUGGAAGCAGCUGAGCUGAGCUGUGGUUCCAGGGAGGCUGCCUGCUCCAGAGGCCUUCCCAUGUCCAGUCCUAAGGCCCUGCACACUUCCUGCCUCCCUCCCUUGCUUGUUUGCUUCAGUCCACCUAUCUUUCCUUCCUCGAUGUUUCUAACCCCAGGUUACUGUGUGUGUGCCCUCAAUAAAGCCAU